GAAUCCAACCCACCUUCUUGACAGGGCUUGCUGCCUUAUCUUAAAUACCAAGACGAGGCCUCAUGCACUCUUGAGUUCAUCCAAAGGCGCUUCAUUGGUAUAAACCCUGAGGGAGGCACCAAGGCUGGACGGGGCAAAGUCUUGUAAAAAAAAAAAAAAACCUGGCAAAGCCACCAGCAAAAAGAUGGUCAACCCGCAUGUAUCCACUCUGCUGAGAAGACUCAUGGACUUUCAGUGGGACAUCAUUUAAAAUGGGGUAGAAAGUCUGAAUCCCUGUUAUUCUCGCCAAGUUAUUUGUAUCCUGUUUCUGAACAUACACAUACCACUGUUUGACUGUUUCAUGCUGGCAUGUUUUGACUGUCUGAGGGGUUAGGUCAGGACUUUGGAUAAUUUUUCAGGGCUUGUGAUACUUUUGUUUGGAUUUUUAUGUUCAUUGACCACAUUACAGUAUAUAGCAGAUUACAAGAGGAUACUAAGGGCACACACAAAGUUUGUAACUUUGAUUUAUCUAUUGCUCAACUGUCUGUAACUGUCAGUACUCCACAAAGAAAGCAAGUUUGCCGGGUGCUAUAAUUUCUGUGAACUGUCUGUGUCAUAUUUUGAACCUGAAUUGUGAAAUCAUAUCUGCAGAAUUUAUUCAGUUUAUGUUUAUUUGUUUUUUAAACACACUACCAUGAUAAUGCAAAAUGUGUACACUUACCUGGCUAACUUUUAAUCUGCUUUGUGGAACAGUCUCUUAGAGGUUUCAUUAUCUGAACGUUGUUGUGGUCAGUUUCAAGUCAAUAUUUCCAAGUCUGAAUGCCUUGUUCUUUUAUUGCACUAUUCAGCAA